rnacentral:rRNA from 1 species
AGGGAGCGUAGGUGGCUCUAUAAGUCAGAUGUGAAAUCCCCGGGCUUAACCUGGGAACUGCAUCUGAAACUGUAGAGCUAGAGUAUGUGAGAGGAAGGUAGAAUUCCAGGUGUAGCGGUGAAAUGCGUAGAGAUCUGGAGGAAUACCGAUGGCGAAGGCAGCCUUCUGGCAUAAUACUGACACUGAGGCUCGAAAGCGUGGGUAGCAAACAGGAUUAGAUACCCUGGUAGUCCACGCCGUAAACGAUGUCUACUAGUCGUUGGGUCCCUUGAGGACUUAGUGACGCAGCUAACGCAAUAAGUAGACCGCCUGGGGAGUACGGCCGCAAGGUUAAAACUCAAAUGAAUUGACGGGGGCCCGCACAAGCGGUGGAGCAUGUGGUUUAAUUCGAUGCAACGCGAAGAACCUUACCUGGUCUUGACAUAUCUAGAAUCCUGCAGAGAUGCGGGAGUGCCUUCGGGAAUUAGAAUACAGGUGCUGCAUGGCUGUCGUCAGCUCGUGUCGUGAGAUGUUGGGUUAAGUCCCGCAACGAGCGCAACCCUUGUCCUUAGUUACCAGCGGGUUAAGCCGGGAACUCUAAGGAUACUGCCAGUGACAAACUGGAGGAAGGCGGGGACGACGUCAAGUCAUCAUGGCCCUUACGACCAGGGCUACACACGUGCUACAAUGGUAGGUACAGAGGGCAGCUACACAGCGAUGUGAUGCGAAUCUCAAAAAGCCUAUCGUAGUCCAGAUUGGAGUCUGCAACUCGACUCCAUGAAGUAGGAAUCGCUAGUAAUCGCGGAUCAGAAUGCCGCGGUGAAUACGUUCCCGGGCCUUGUACACACCGCCCGUCACACCAUGGGAGUUGAUUGCACCAGA